rnacentral:pre_miRNA from 1 species
AGUGGAAUUGCUGGGUCAUAUGGUAACUCUCUGUUGAACUUUUUGAAGAACUUCCAGACUGUUUUCCAAAGUGGCUGCACCAUAUUACAUUUCCACAAGCAAC